CAUUUUUUUUUCGUGUCAGGAGCAACCUGAGUCACUUCUGGUGUGAGAGAAUUGGCCUUCUGCAAGGACCUUGCCCAGGGGACGCCCGGAUAUUUGAAGUUUUUACCAUCCUUGUGAGAGGCUUCUCUCAUGUCCCCGCAUGGAGCUGGAGCUGAUAGAGGGAGCUCAUCUGCACUCUCCCCAGGUGGGAUUCGAACCUGGCAGCCUUCAGCACACAGAGGACUGGGUGACUUGGAAGGCACUGAACAGACUGCACUCUGGCACCACAAGAUGCAGAGCCAACCUUAAAAAAUGGGGAUACAAAGUGGAGUUGACGACAUGAGAGUUUGGAGAAGAGCAAACCACAGGCCACCUAUUACAAUGAAGUCUGAGCCCUGCUACAUGCACUAUAAAGGACCUUCUUACAGCAACACCAGAGGCACUCCAAGUGGCCAGCUACUGGCCAAAGCACAUUUAGUAUAUUGCCAAGUUUUUUCUUUAACUUUGUGUUUUCAAAUACAUUACAACUUGUACUCUCGGUUCGCUUCUGACACGAUAAAUAAAUAUUGUCUUGACCAGUGGGGUACAUACAAUCUCACCAUAUUUGUACAUGUGUGUGUGAAUAAAACUCUAGAAAAAUUA